AUUGAACGCUGGCGGCAUGCCUUACACAUGCAAGUCGAACGGCAGCACGGGAGCAAUCGUGGUGGCGAGUGGCGAACGGGUGAGUAAUACAUCGGAACGUGCCCAAUCGUGGGGGAUAACGCAGCGAAAGCUGUGCUAAUACCGCAUACGAUCUACGGAUGAAAGCAGGGGAUCGCAAGGCCUUGCGCGAAUGGAGCGGCCGAUGGCAGAUUAGGUAGUUGGUGAGGUAAAGGCUCACCAAGCCGUCGAUCUGUAGCUGGUCUGAGAGGACGACCAGCCACACUGGGACUGAGACACGGCCCAGACUCCUACGGGAGGCAGCAGUGGGGAAUUUUGGACAAUGGGCGAAAGCCUGAUCCAGCCAUGCCGCGUGCAGGAUGAAGGCCUUCGGGUUGUAAACUGCUUUUGUACGGAACGAAACGGCCUUUUCUAAUAAAGAGGGCUAAUGACGGUACCGUAAGAAUAAGCACCGGCUAACUACGUGCCAGCAGCCGCGGUAAUACGUAGGGUGCAAGCGUUAAUCGGAAUUACUGGGCGUAAAGCGUGCGCAGGCGGUUAUGUAAGACAGUUGUGAAAUCCCCGGGCUCAACCUGGGAACUGCAUCUGUGACUGCAUAGCUAGAGUACGGUAGAGGGGGAUGGAAUUCCGCGUGUAGCAGUGAAAUGCGUAGAUAUGCGGAGGAACACCGAUGGCGAAGGCAAUCCCCUGGACCUGUACUGACGCUCAUGCACGAAAGCGUGGGGAGCAAACAGG
rnacentral:rRNA from 1 species